UUAGAUGCCACUCGAUCUAAUUCACAUACUAAUUGUCCAAUCAAGCAUUCUACUCAUUCUAGAGUUAUCAAUUCUCAUUUUUCAAUGUUAUCUCUCUAAUCAAGCUAGAGUUAUCAACCAAGUUCAUAUGCAUAUAUAAUCUCACUUUAACUUAAUGUCAUCAACAUGCAUUUCAUUCUAUGCAUUAUGCUUACAUGCAUUCACAUAAUUAUCUACCAUUAUUCAACUUGCUCAUAAUGCAUUCUAUUUAGCAUUUACAUCAUACUAUCAAUAUGCAUUAUUUAGCUACAUGCAUCAUUUACGUGCUUCAUUUACAUUUAUAUGCAUCAACAUGGAUUCUUAGUUUCUUAGACAUAAAGGGCGACCUAGUCGCUUCGGUAAGCACAACCCACCUUAAUUUGCGUUCCGAUUGCUUGUUGACACUUGCAAUCGGCCUCCCGCGGCACCCUUAUCCGGCACGGCCCGAUACUGCAACUGCGCCUCAACCGUGCUCCGCUUCGCAGCCCCGAAAAUUAUAGGUCUUCGGUUAUAUGCCACGAUGCCUCAAAUCCAUUUCCAUGAUUUUACGACGUCGCCUCGGCCCUCCAGGCGGAAACGAAACCUAAACGUCUGUUUCUUUAAUAACUUCGCGUAGGCUCGACGAAUCGCCGAACCGACUUCGCCAACGCGUUCGUUUACCUAGCAAUUAGGUUUAUACAUGAUCAAUUUAGAUCAAAACCCCUCACAAGUAAAAACCCCUCUUUUGAUGCCCUAAGAUGCAACUAUGCAAGAAUUCAUCAUUUUAUCUCAAAAUUCGAGCAUCAACCAUCUAUUUAGCAUCUAGGAGUUUCACUAAACCCAUUUCUAAGGCAUACAAAUCGUUACUUAGCAAUCUACCAUUAUUACUAACAAAGCUUACCUCUCAAACCCAUGCUCUCUUCAAGCCAAUGGUGAAGAAAAGGAAAGCUUUACCUUUAAGUAAGCUUUUCUCUACCAACUCCACACUUUGGAGCCAAUCCUAAAGAGAGAGAGAGAGAGGUUUCUCUUAUGUUGGCUCAAAUGGAGAGGAAUGAGGGAAAUGACAUAACACCCUUAUAUAUAUAUAGGAGGAAACUUCACCUCCAAGUAAACUCCCCCAAAACACUAUUCACUCCAGGCAGUUCGAAAUCUGAUAUCUUUCGCCGGAACUCCCUGAACAUCCGUUUGAGCUCAAAUUUGACAGUCAUGUUCGGUCUCACUUAACGAGUCCAAAGAAAUUUUAAUAUUUCAGUUUCGACCCCGUUUGGUCACCGAAAGCUGUACCGAACUAUAAUCUUUAUCAGAUAGCUUUCGGAUUCUAGUUUUCACCUUCCGGGUGUCAGAAUGGCAUGGAACUUUAAAUCUAGCAUCAUAAAAAUAUUUAUGACAUCUUCGCUAAUUUUCAUAAUUUUCUGACACUGUGCAUUUUCUGCUAAUUUAUCUGCCCUGUUUCUUACAGAAAAUUCUAAAUCUUCUGUUGUCGCUCCGAUUUCAGCACAGGUCAUUCCCAACUUAUAUUUCACUUCUCUAAAUCCAAUAAAAAUAGUAUCUCAUACUAUUUUUAUUUAUUUUCACUUUUAUAUUUAAAAUCCGGUAUGUUACAUUCCGCCGCAACCUCACCGGAGCCAUUUAAAUGUACACGGUAACUUCAUAGUUUUAGAAGUCCGGUACCUUACACUAUGAGAAUGUAAUAACCCUAUAUGUGCAUGUAAAAAGAGAUAUUAGUUUAGUGAAGUUAAAGAACAAGUGACAUAUGACACGAGGAAAAUGAAAUGUGAGAAUGCAAGCUAAAGAUCGCAUAAAGAUUGAUGUAAAGAACACUAGAGCUAGUGUGUGGCAUCAAAGAGAACAAAUGUGAUAUAAAGAAUGAUAAAACUAGAGUUAGCAAUGUGUGGCAUUAAAGAAUGACAAUUACUAGAGUUAGCAACAAAAUGUGGCAUAAAGAACAAUGGCUAGAGAUAGCAUUAAAUAUGGGGCAUAAAAGAAUGCUAGAGCUAAUGCAUGACAUAAACGAUAGUAAAGAAUGUAAAGAACACUAGACUUAGUGUAAUGACAUGGUCGAAGAUAAAGAAUGCAAAGAACAUGAGAUUGACACAAUGACAUUCAACCUUAGAGCUAAGGGUCAUUUGUGCAUAAUUCCUUAGAGUUAAGGAACAGAUUGAACUGAACAUCCUUAGAGUUAAGGAUUGAUCAUACUCGCUAUAAGUCCUUGCUCGAGGGCGGUAGCUCCCCCUCGGGCGAUAAGCUUCGGAGUUUGUCAUCACUGGAUUGGUGCUGUUCCCCAGAGAACGGUCCUAGCGGGAGGAAGCUAAGGGCCCGCGAUCAUAGAUUCUGAGUUCGUGAGUUAAUGAGGCGAUACCCCGGGGUUAGCCUUGGGAUUGAACAAAGAAUAAAGAACAAAGAAUAUAGACCAUGCAUUCUUCAUGAGUUAUAUUGAGCAUCAUUUUUUAUCGCAUUGUUCAGGCAUAUUAGUUGCUUAAAUUUAACUAUUUAAAUUUUCAGCAAAUGAAACUGUACAUUCAGUUUCCAAAUAAUAGCUAAUUACCAACAAAGCUACUAAAAUUAGCAAUAAUCCCAUUUUAAAUGAGUAGAAUGAAGUAAUUUGAUAUUGAUAGAUUACUAACUGUUGAUGCCAAAAUUAAAAUUAGGCAGGAACGGUUGAGAAGUGGGAUGUAACUUCCACGAUCAUGGCUACACCACUCCCCCCACUACUAAAAACUGACCAAUAAUGUGGGCUGAGAAGACAUCACUAUAAAUAGUAAUUUUGAAGCCUGCAAUAGAGGUCUUUUCCCCGUGAACAGAAGACCACCUUUAUUUCCUCUACAAUUUCUUCGCAUUUUCUAGGAGUAGUCUACUUGUAAUCUUUUACUUUCUCGCACUUACCGUUUUACCUAGGAGUAGAGUUAAGUUAGAUCAACCGAGUCUGUAUGUCCUCAGGCACACUCGACCUUUGUACUGUUCUUGCAAGCUAAUUCUAAUAUAUCAAGGCAUUCGGCUCAUCAGCCGACCUGAAAUCCUUUGUUUUCUAUACAUUUGGCUCAUCCAGCCAGCCGAACCUAUUCUGUAAUAGAAGAUUCCCAACUCGGCUGAUCCGAUCCUUCAUCAGCCGAAUCACUUGAUCCAGUCGAAGGGCACAAACUUCGAGGGUCACUAAUCGUAGCCGUUUCGCAUCUCGACGCGCUUUUCGAGGAAGAUCUUUGACCGGGCCAAAGAAGAGGGAAUUCGGCACCUAAUAAUUUUGGCAUGCCCAGUGGGACACACUUAGGUUUUCCCAAUCUAGAUUUUGUCCUAUGGCUGACGAUAAUGCUAUGAACCUCCGGAAUAGAGUCAUUCCCAGGCCUUCAAGGAAUAACCAAGCUAGUAGCGCCGAAAAUGCGAAUGAGAAUCAGGCGGUACUACCUAUUGGAGGAGAGAUUAGUGAAUAGUCGGCUCAUCAAGAGUCGAGUCUAACUCAGGUACUCAACCAGAUGACCCGAGUCCUGCAAACUGUAGAUCAAAAUAUCCAUCAAAGUACCGCUCAACUAGACACGGUGCUGGCUGCUAUCACGGCCUACAAUAAAAAUAUUGUUCGAAUCAGACAGUUAUUUACCCAAAACGAGCAACCUUACGGGGGCAACAGGGCCCCUAAAUGUGUUGGUGCAACAAAAUCCCGUCACGUCGGUGGUCUCAUAGGCACAACCGCAAAUAGCACCUUUCCAGGCUUCUUAUAGGCCGGCGAAUAUAAACGCCAGCCCACAGUCGAAGAUUGCAUCGGGUUUACCUCCUUUACCAGCUUACCAGCCCCAAAACGUGGGCGUAAGGGCUGGAGGCCAAGGCUCCAACAGGUUGUAGGAACUAAACUCUGUAAUGCAAAAUUACGGACCGCCUUCAGGGCCGAAUGUGGUUCCGGCCCCGGUUUCUGCUUCGGCAGCAAGAAAUAAUGAGUUAUACGCUCAAAUAGGAGAGGUGAUUCGAAACACAUUUGAUAUAGGGGCGAGGUCGGCAGUGCGGCUUGUAUUUAGAUCCCCAUAUCUCGUGAACAUCGACGCAGAGAAUCUGUAUUCGGCAAACUGAAAAAUGCCGAAGUUCAACAAGUUCUCGAGCGAUGAGACCGAGAAUACGGUUGAGCAUGUAGCCCGGUUCACAGCCCAAUGUAGAGAAGCGAGCGCUGACACAUUUUUGAAACUUUGAUUAUUUAACACGUCGUUAACUAAAACGGCGUUUACUUGAUAUGCAAGUUUACAAGCCAAUUUCGUCCGAGAUUGGGAUGAAUUGGAAAGAAAAUUUUAUGAGCAAUUAUAUAGGUCGGAGCCACAAUUAUCAGUUGCCGACUUGGCUUUAUACCGACAAAAGUCAGGUGAAACGGUCGAAGAGUGUAACGCCCCAAAAUUUGACUAUAAAUAUUUAAAAAGAUUCCAAAAUGAUUUUGAGGGUUAUAGCCAGUUUUAUAUGAUUUGAACUCAAUUGAGUCUAAUCUGUCAUUGCACCAACAACCACUUUGGGAAAACUUUUAACCAUGUUAUCGACAUCCGAUUCAGGCGAAAUUGGUCUCGUUGGAAAGAUCAUCGAGUCAUCUUUCUAACGCAACCUGAACCAUGUCUGCCGCGAACGAACCGGCGCCGCCGUAGGUAUUUUUAAGGCAAGUGGUCAUUCAUGGUAGAGAUCAAAUUUGUUUAAAUUUUAUUUUAAAAUUAGGAUUAUAGGUUCAUGGCUUCCAACAGACUCAAGAAUCUGUUAUUAAUUACCCCACACUUUCAGUGUUAGGGAACCCUCGAUUAAGAGACUGAAUAUAAAUGCUGAUAAUAAAAGAGACCGAACAGACAAAUAAGAUUUUAUUAAUAUGAUUUGUCGUGUACAUGGCUUAAGCAAGGGCAUUCCCCCACUUUACAUAGAUUUCAUAAAAUUAAAUACUCAGUUUAUAGACUUGAUGGUCAUGUCUGAACUUGAUUUGCCCGGUUUAGCGACUUGGCGGUCGAUUGAAGUUGAGAUGCUCAGUUUAGCGGCAUGGCGGUCGAUUUUAAAUUGAGUUGCUCAGUUUAAUGAUAUGGCGGUCGGUUUGAAUUUUGAUGAUCAGUUUAAUGACAUGGCGGUCGGUUGAAGUUGAGAUGCUCAAUUUAGUGACAUGGCGGUUGAUUUGAAUUAUAGUGCUCAGUUUAAUGAUAUGGCGGUCGAAUAUUCAGUUUAAUGACUUAAUAGUCAUUCGUUCAGUUUAACGACUUGACGGUCACAUCUGAACAUGAUUUGCUCGGUUUAGCGACUUGGCGGUCGAUUGAAAUUGAAGUGCUCAGUUUAGCGACAUAGCGGUCGAUUUUAGAUUGAGUUGCUCAGUUUAAUGAUAUGGCGGUUGGCUUGAGUUUUGAUGCUCAGUUUAAUGACAUGGCGGUCGAUUUAAGUUUUGGUGCUCAGUUUAAUGACAUGAUUGUCGAGGGGGUUUGAUUUGAUUGUUCAGUUUAACGACUUGGCGGUCAAAAGUUCAGUUUGAAUGACUUAAUAGUCACUUGUUCAGUUUAACGACUUGACGGUCAUAUAUGAACUUAAUUUGCUCUGUUUAGCGACUUAGCGGUCGAUUUUAAAUUGAAUUGCUCAGUUUAGAGACAUGGCAGUCGAUUGAAGUUGAGGUGCUCAGUUUAGCGACAUGGCGGUCGAUUGUUCAGUUUAACGACUUGAUAGUCAUUUGUUCAGUUUAACGACUUGACGGUCGUUUCUGAACUUGACUUGCUCAGUUUAGUGACUUGGCGGUCGAAAGGGUUUGGUUUGAUUGCUCAGUUUAACGACUUGGCGGUCGAAAGGGUUUGGUUUGAUUGCUCAGUUUAACAACUUGGCGGUCAAAAGUUAAGUUUGAAUGACUUAAUAGUCACUUGUUCAGUUUAACGACUUGACGGUCAUAUCUGAACUUGAUUUGCUCAAUUUAGCAACUUAGCGGUCGAUUUUAAAUUGAAUUGCUCAGUUUAGCGACAUGGCGGUCGAUUGUUCAGUUUAACGACUUGAUGGUCAUUUGUUUAGUUUAACGACUUGACGAUCGUUUUUGAACUUGAUUUGCUCAGUUUAGCGACUUAGCGGUCGAAAGGGUUUGGUUUGAUUGCUCAGUUUACGACUUAGCAGUCAACUUGAGAUGCUCAUGAAACUGAUUCGUGAAAUUAAUUCAUGCUAAGAGCCCGUUUGUAAAGUCCAUUAAAUUAAUUGAUGAAAUUAAUUCAUGAUAGGGGACCAAUUGGAGAGCCCAUUGAAUUGGGUUUUAUAAAAUUAAUUUAUGAUAAGGAGUCAUUUGGAAGGCUUAUUAGUUCAUGAAAUUAAUCUAUGACAAGGAGGGCCUAUGAAAUUAAUUCAUCGAAUUAAUUCGUGAUAGGGGGCCUAUUUGGCAAACCCAUAAAAUUAAUUUGUAGAAUUAAUUCAUGAUAAGGGAUUCAAUUGGAAAGCCCAAGGAAUUAAUUCGUAGAAUUAAUUUAUGAUAAGGGGCCCAUUUGGAAAGUCUGUAAAAUUAAUUCAUGAUAAGGGGGCCUAUUUUGCAAACCCAUGAAAUUAAUUCGUAAAAUUAAUUUAUGAUAAGGGGUCAUUUAGAAAGCCCAGAAAAUUAAUUCAUAGAAUUAAUUCAUAAUAAAUGGCCCAUUUGGAAAGCCCAUAAAUUCGGUUUGGGUUGGAGGUAUUUGGAUGAUAUAGGUUUGGUAGAUUUGGUUGGAUUUUAUUUGUGAACUUUGGAUUUGGAUCUUUAUUUGUGGACUUUCGGUUUUGGAUCUUUAUUUGUAGACUUUGGGUUUUGGAUCUUUAUUGGUGGACUUUGUGGACUUUGGGUUUUGGGUCUUGUUUAUAGGUUUGGGGUUUUGGGUUGAGGAAUUUAUUCAUAUGGUUUUUUUUUUUUUUUUUUUUUUUUUUUUUUUUUUUUGUCUUGGUUUUGGAUCUAAAUCUGCAUAUGGGUUGAGGUUGGUUUCGGGCUGUACAUGUUCUGGGCCUUGGACCCGAAUCUGCAUGUGGACUUGGAUUGGUUUUGGACUUUAUAUAUUCUGGGCCUUGGACCCGAAUCAGCAUAUGGACUGAAAUUGGUCUUGGACUUUACAUGUUCUGGGCCUUGGACCCGAAUCAGCAUGUGGACUAAAAUUGGUCUUGGACUUUACAUGUUCUCGGCCUUGGACCCGAAUCAGUGUGUGGACUAAAAUUGGUCUUGGACUUUACAUGUUCUGGGCCUUGGACCCGAAUCAGCAUGUAGACUAAAAUUGGUCUUGGACUUUACAUGUUCUGGGCCUUGGACCCGAAUUAGUGUGUGGACUGAAAUUGGUCUUAGACUUUACAUGUUCUGGGCCUUGGACUCGAAUCUGCAUGUGGGCUUUAUUAUUUCUUUUUUUUAACUGUUUAUGGAAUUUAUUCAUUGAGCCCACAAGUAAAUGAUGGAUUGAACCAUUUUCAAAUUAAAUAACUCAAAUUCAUUUCAUCAAAUUUUCUUGUUCCAUUUUUUUUGUUCUUCUUCUUUUUUUUUUUUUGACUAAGAGAAGGAACAACUCUUCUUUUUUUUUUCUGUUUUUUUUUUUUUUUUUUUUUUUUUCUUUUUUUUUUCUUUCUCUUUCUUCUUUUUGGUUCUUUUUUUCUUUUUUUCUUUUUUUCUUUUGUUGACUGCCAGAGGGAAUCUCUCUCUCUCUCUCUCUCUCUCUCUCUCUCUCUCUCUAUACGAAACCGAGAGAAGGGGUGCCCUCCUUUUCUUUCUUUUCUUUUUUUUUUUUGCUGUUUUUUUUUUGUGCUUAUUCAUUUUUUUUUGUCCGAAGUACGAAAUUUUGUCUCUCUUUUUUUAAAAAAAUAUACGAAAUUGAUCACAUUGAGAAAUACGAUCAAAUCGAAUGAAGAUGGCGAAUCCAAAGAGAACCCUUCCAUUUUUUUAUUAUCAUUUUUUUUUUGUCGUUCAAGUACGCAGGAUUUAAUCGUGUCGAGCCUAUCAUGAAGUUGGCCACUCGAUUAAUUCUUUCGACCAUGUCGAGCUUAUCGCGAAGAUGGCCACACGGUUUACGUAGCGAAAUAAACGGUGCUCGAUCACCCAUUUUGACCAUGUCGAGCCUAUCGCGAAGAUGGCCGGACGGUUUACAUAGCAAAAUAAACAGUGCUCGAUCACCCAUUUUGACCUUGUCGAGCCUAUCGUGAAGAUGGCUGCACGUUUUACGUAGUAAAAUAUCCGGUUCGAUCAAUCAUUUUGACCAUGUCGAGCCUAUCACGAAAAUGGCCGCACGGUUUAGAGAUUAGCGAUGCAUACGCGUGACGGAAGCAACAAUUUAAUGUCAAAUUUGAUCGGUUCGAUAUCACGAAGAUGGUCGGGUUGAUCAGAUUGACAAAAAAAGCACUUACGCUAUGCGUAUGCAUGCAUAUCUCCUAUUGUUGUAGAAGUCGUCGUAAUUGUUGUUGUCGAAGUUGUAGCCGAGUUCAAGAGCAAAAUUCCUUCUUUUUUUCCUUUUUUUUUUGUUGCCGUGUACGGACAGAGGAGGGGGUGCACAUGGUGCCCCCUCUGCCAGCAAGCCCAAGGCUACACAAGGGGGAGAGAGAGAGAGAUAGAGAGGAGAGUAUAUAAAAAAAAAAUUUCGCCUUUUUCUUUCUUUUUCUUCUUCUUUCUGUUCUUCUUUUUUUUCUUUUUUUUUUCUUUUUCUUCUUUUUCGGUUCUCCCCUUUCUUCCUUCCUCUAAAAAAAAAUUCUCUCUAGAUCCCUUUUUCGAAAUUUGGACCUUAUUUUAUAUAGGAUUCAAAGAUGAUUCCCAUUUGGGAAUAAUUUUAAAAAAAUCAGCUUAUUGAGGAAACAAAUCUCAAUCAACUAAUUAUACCUCUUUUGUUUUAUUUUGAAUACUUUCCUUCUUUUUCUUUUGAAUCUUUCCUUUUCCUAUUUCCUUCCUUCUAUAUUUUCAAUUUGAAUUUUGAACUUUUUUUUCUCAAACAAACCACCUUAAACGGAUAUCGGACGAAAGAGUUAUUGCAAUUUUUCUAAUAGCCGUUGAUACAAUCCUGAGCUGCGAGCUAGUUCGAAAUUUCACCAAUUGUUAUGGGCAGUUUGGUAAAAUUACUAAUUAAAAAUAUAACUUAUCAAUUUAGUUGGUUAACUAUUGGUCCAACCAUAAUUUUUUCCAAGAAAAUAUUGAGUAAAAUUACAUAAACGCCCUUAAGUGGGCUGGUUUGAAUGGGAGAAGAGAAAACUCUUCUAUUCCCAUUCCCUUCUUCUUUUUCCCAUUUCCCCUUUCUCUCAAUACCCUAUUUCCCCUCUCUUCUACUUAGUAAUGAGAUGAAGGAUUUUUCCUUCAAAUUGAAGGGAUUUAGGAGCAGAACCUUUGGAGAAGGAAACCCAUUUUCAAGUUGAAACUCUAGCUAGAGAACAAAGUAAGUAAAUUUUCGGUUUUGUGCUUUGUGAGUAUCAAAGAAUGAAUAUUUUGAGUUGCAUGCAUGUUUUUCUAUUCUCUUUGAAGGUCCCAAGCUAUCCUUUAUGGAUUGGUUAUAGUUUUUGAAGAUUUUAUGACACUAUAUUCAAAUAUUGAUGCCCUAAAUUGGGGGUUUUUGCCCUAUUAUGAAAUUUUCUUGUGAUUUUAGGGUUGGGACCCUAAGAGCCCAAAAUGAGAUUUUUGAUAAUUAACUUUUAGUUCUUUCUACUUGAAUUUAGGGGCCAAUACAUAGUUAUAUGAAUUGCUUUUACUUUUAAGAGGUUUUGAUGAGUUAGUUGCAUGUUAUGAGGUUCCAAAAAUUAGGAUUUUGAUCAACUACAAGAUUAACCUUUUGUAGUUGAUUUUAAGAGUUUAGAAUCCUUAAAUUGAAGUGUCUAUCAUGUUCAAAUAUAUUGGGCAUGAAUGUACGAUUGAGCUAAGUUGUUUAAUCAAAUUUAAAUUUAGUUUGUUAAUAUUUCGAUCAAUUUAUGCUAUUCUCGGGUUGGACUAUUCCGGUUAGUUUUCGGAAGGUAUAAACAUCUUGUUAAGGUGUCGUUUGUUAAAAUUAAGUACCCCAAACCCUUUUAUAGAGUUUGAAUGAGUUAUUUUAAGGUUUUUAUCUAUUUUUAAAGAGUUAUGAGCUCCCAAAAUAGGGACUUUUGUUCUAACCCGAGAAUAGAGUAUAAUAGUCGAAGUGAUGGACUUAAAUAAGUCUAAAUCAUUUAAGAUUACGAAAAAUAAAAGAUUAAUGGAGAUACUCAUUAUUUGUAUGUUAGGUACUUCGGGCGUGCAUGCCGGAGCUCCUACGGCCGAACCUUCCACAUCUUAGAUCAGUCUUUUCUUAUUUUGAGGUGGAAUCCUUAUCUAUAAAUGAUGAACCUUAGUGGUCCUCUUAGUAUCAUACAUGCAUAUAUAUAUAUUGCUAUCGAAUGUUCGUAAUUCUUGUUGCGUGUUUAAUUAUUGUUCUAAGAACUUAUGCCAUCGUUGUUUAUUCUUUGGUUCACAAUGCAAUGGAAGUUGAUCUUAUACUCUAGCAUAUCUCUUAUUAUCAUAUUGUACUAGUAGAGGGUAUGCAUUUGUAUUGGAAGGUAGCAUAAUCUUGAUUAUUUGUUAAUUCCAAAAUAUAACAUGAUUGUUGGGACAUUGACCCUAUUUGGAUUCGCCGCUAUGCUUAUGGUACUCCCCGGGCCAUCUUGGAUGGCUCCUUGUGAUGUGGGAGUUUGAGUGAGAGAAGGCAUGAGUGGGUUAUCGGUGGUGGUCGCUCCCCACGCGGUAAGCCCUUUGCUCCCCGGGUUGAGAUUUGGAUUACGCAUUUACUCGAUUGUAGGUCGAGUUGGAUUUUUGUUGGGUCUUUUCUAGUUGAUUAUGCUUAUCCUAUGAUUUUACCAUUUACUUAUUGAGUAUAGUUGCUAUCGUUGAUCAUAAUGGUAGAUUCAUAUGUAUGUUUAUUAAUCAUUCAUAAUCAUUGUUUAUCUUUCCGUUGAUCACCUACUAUUAGGUUAGUGGGAAUUAUUGUCUCUAGAUGAGCUUCCACUGGGAACUAUUGUUAAUAGUUCUCAUUAUGUGGAUAUUACUAAUUUUUCAGGUAUGACCUUUGAGAUGAGAUCGGGCGAGACGACGACUAUAGUUAGAUAGUAGCAUGUUGAUCGUCUCCAUUUUUGUAUUAUGUAGAUCUUAUUUUUGUAUUUUGGACAAUCAUUUUGGAUAUGUAUUAGGUCAUAUUGGGACUAUGAAUUGUACAAACUUGCUACUUGUUAAGUUCAGGGCAUAACCAUUUAGAAGUUUUAUGUAUGCUUAAAUGGAAUGGUAUUUUGGAUAACCAAUCGUUACGUUGGUAACUUUGGGAUGCUUAAAAUUUGUGAAUUGUUUAUUUAAAUUUAUCAUAUUGUAGGGAUGUUGAUAUUAACGCCGGACAUACUUAAGAUUUCAAUCUUAAGUUAUGUGGUGGGUCUGUAGCUGUUUUACCUCUGUGGUGCUCACCGCUACCGGGGUGCUGCAAAGAGUAUUUGAACCGUUUCAAAAUAGCCAAAAUCCGGUGCUUUAUGAGAAUGCCAAAAUCAGAGUUCGCCAAAAUGGCGUUAAAUUGUUUGCAUUUUAAGAUAAAAAGACUAUUUUGAAGAUAAGUAUUUUUCUAACUUAUUUGAUCUAGGUGUUCAAGUUGCCCAAUAUGAGCAAUUUCGGAAGAAAAGUGAGGACGAUCGGCUGCAAUGGAGCCGAUAUAAAAAUCAAAACAAAGGCAAGGAGAAAUCCUUAAUAGAAGAACAGUCAGUUGAAAAAGAGCCGAGCCAAUCGAGUGAAAGUGAAGAAUCGGCUGAUGAAGCCGAGGUAUAUGCGGCUGGUAAAGAGCCACUUUCUUCAAGGAGAAAUCCUUGAUAGAAGAACAUUCGGUUCAAGAAGAGCCAAACCAAUUGAGUAAAAGUAAAGAAUCGGCUGAUGAAGCCGAGGUAUAUGCGGCUAGGAUGAUAAAGAGCCGUUUCUUUAAGCCGACCAAGACCAGCGAAACUAAAGCUUGGGUCUCGGCUGUGUCAUUGAGCAGUCGAUUUGGCACCAAUAGGCAUCCGAAUGUUCAUUCGAAAGACUAUUUGGGGGGCAUUGUUGAUGCCAAAAUUAAAAUUAGGCAGGAACUGUUGAGAAGUGGGAUGUAACUUCCACGAUCAUGGCUACACCACUCCCCCCACUAUUCAAAACCGACCAAUAAUGUGGGCUGAGAAGACAGCACUAUAAAUAGUAAUUUCGAAGCCUGCAAUAGAGGUCUUUUCCCCGUGAACAAAAGACCACCUUUAUUUCUUCUACAAUUUCUUCGCAUUUUCUAGAAGUAGUCAACUUGUAAUCUUUUACUUUCUCGCACUUACCAUUUUUCCUAGGAGUAGAGUUAAGUUAGAUCAACCGAGUCUGUAUGCCCUCAGGCACACUCGACCCUUGUACUGUUCUUGCAAGCUAAUUCUAAUAUAUCAAGGCAUUCGGCUCAUCAGCCGACCUGAAAUCCUUUGUUUUCUAUACAUUUGGCUCAUCCAGCCGAACCUAUUCUGUAAUAGAAGAUUCUGAACUCGGCUGAUCCGAUCCCUUAUCAGCCGAAUCGCUUGAUCCAGUCGAAGGGCGCAAACUUCGAGGGUCACUAAUCGUAGCCGUUUCGCAUCCCGACGCGCUUCCCGAGGAAGAUCUUUGACCGGGUCAAAGAAGAGGGAAUUCGACACCUAACACUAACUAAGAAAAAUAAAGUUGGAUUUCUUUGUUUUCCCCAUAAUUGGAGGGGUUCUGUUACAAUCUUACAUAAUGCAUUUUGCAAAACUUAGGAACCACGACCUCAUAUAUUAUUUGCAAUUAAUAGUCAAUCUAGGGAGCUCUGUGCUUUCAAACAAGAAAAGAAAGAAAGAAAGAAAAAAAAAAAAACAGAACUAAGUUUUUUUAUUAUUGCAUUACAAUUAGUUGAUACGUCCACAUGUAAAUCUAUUUGAUCAUAGGAAUCAAUCCUAAAAGUUCUUAUGCUUUCAAACAAAACAAUAUAAAUCAGAGAUUUCAAAAAUGGGAUUGAGUCCAGCUUAAAGCGAAAAAACAUCUAUCAUAGCCAAAAAACGUCAUGGAGAAACCAAAAUAAAGUUUCAAAUCCAUCAGUUUUUCCAUAAAAGAAUAUCCGGUCUUAAUUGUUAACCCAAAUUAGAACCUAUAGAAACAAAUAAUUUAAUUAGAUUGAUGAUAUAAAGAAAAAUAUAUAGAUGAACCAAUACAAAAUGAACAUAAUUUAAUAAAAAAUGUACCAACUGGAGCUUUACAAAGCUCUCACUACCAGACUGCUAACAAAAACUAAUAUAUAUAUAUGUAUACAAACCUAAAUUCUAAAAUAGGGAUUUUAAACCCAAAAUUAGAGGUAAUAGAAUAGGAACAAAUAGGAAACCCUCUCUAAUCCUUUAGCCUUUACCUUUACUACUAAUUGAUAGUUAACUUGGAGCAAAAAUAUUAAUGGAACAUAACCUUAUCAACUAAACCCUAAACCCUCCAACCAAAAAAAACAGAGAUGAGAGAGGGGGAAAAAAAAACUUUUAAAUUUGAAGUAUUGAAGUUUAAUUUUUCACUAACCCUAAUAAGUUGGGUUUUCACUAAGUUUCAAAAAGUUAUUUGGAAUAAAUAUACUAGGAGAAGAUAAAGACCAUAAAAAAGGAGAAAAAUCUAGAAGUUAUCUACCUGGUAGUAACUCGAGAGAAAUAGAGGUUGAGAAGAAGCAUAUGGAACCACAAGCUCCCCCAAAGGUUGCUUUAAUCGCUCGAAGACCUAAAUACAACACCUUGCUCCUUAGCCAUGUAUGGUCGCUUAGUUUCCUGCCCAAAUAUAACACACUACCUCUGAUGUUGAUGACUUGCUUCAAAUUGUAGGAUGAGGAAGGAGGGAGUGGUGGGAGAGGGGAGGGAAAAGAUGGCCAAGUUGAGGGAAUGGUGGGAGAGGGGAGGGAAAAGAUGGCCAGGUUCAGAAAAAAAACCUCAGGGGGAAGAGAAGGGGUAGGUGAAAAAAGUAGCGCGUAAUGAAAAAGAAGGCGCCUUUUUCUGUAGCAUCGCGCCUUUGGGCUUUUGCGACGGGCCAAAUCCAAAUUAAGACGACCAAAUAAUUUUUGGUCGGUACUCUGGCUCUUUUGGCCAACUGAAAGUUUAUUUAUAUUUUUUGCACUUUUAGUAACCACUUAAGGAGACUGGUCACCUAAAGUUGGUCACUAAAAAGCCUUUAUAUGUAAUUAGUAGGCUUUCCUACAGUUUGCUCCACGCAAGGGAAUAAAUUAAUUUUACCGCCAAAUUUGAAUGUUCUUCUACAUUCAACCUUUCAUCAUUUCUUGAAGGCGGAUUAUAUCUUGUCUCGAAACCUUCUAUGUAUCAAGAACAAAAAGUCAUGCAUUCAUCUACUAAGUAAGCUUCUGCAAAUAGCCCUCCGGACAAGGCCUGUUACGCUCAUAUGACUUUAAGGUCCCAAGGUACCUAAUAAAAAAAAAAAAGAUAAAAGAUAAUUUGAUUUGAUAAAUAAAUACUAACAUAAAAAAUUUAAAUGACUACUCUAUGUUUGGACAUACCAUUCAAUAGGAUACAUCCAUCGAUACUGAACUGGAUUGGCAAUCUUUGUCUUAGUAACCAAAUGGAUGACUAAAUGCACCAUAAUAGUAAAAAAAAAUUUACCGAUUGUCUCUAGAGUAAGUGGCAAACGGCUGAUUGGUACUCGAGGUCCCAGGUUUGAAUCCUAGUUGAUUCACAUUUCCAGCUAAGUUUAUUGCGCCUUAUUAGGGCACUCGCUACCAUUUAAAAGAGCAUGCCAGUCACAAACCUACUAAUAAACAAGAAUUGUUCAGCUUUCGUCGUUCAUCCUUGCGUUCUAAAGUUGAACGAGCAUUCGGCAUAUUGAAAAACUGUUUCAAGUUUUAACAUCCACUAAAAAAAUGUUGAUUUGUGGUGACACUUAUUUUAGUAACGCUUGACACAAGUGUUGACAAAAAUAUAUUUUAGCAGCGGUUUUAACUAAUUAUUAUAAUAGUUCAAUUCUAUACCGUUGGUUGUAGUAAUAUAAUGAUUGAGGGAUUUUUUGUUUCUUUUUAUUUUUCUUAUUUUUAAUUUUAACUUUUUAAAAUUUCCAAAGGAAUUGGGAAAACUAGAUGGAAAUGUAUUAUUGCUAAAAUGGAGCACAGCUUAUCUCAAAGCCGCAUUGGAUUGGGGCUUCAACGGUAAUAGAGGGUGAAAUUGGGCCCAAAAUUAUAGAUAUUUGGACCCAUAAGGGCCGUUUAUAUGAAUUAAUGUUUUGGAAUAAAUAGUUUACAUUGAUGUAAUUUACAGAAUUGAAAAUUCUAUAUAAAAGAAAGUCUUAAUUUUGUUUUUUUUAAAAAAAGCCUAUUUACAGGAACAUGUAAUAUAUAGAUUCUAGUAUUAGAAUAAAAAAAAAGUUAUAAAACUAGUGUGAAAGAGUUGGUUGUUAAAGAGUGAACUUAUAAGAUUACAACCAAUUUUUUAUUGUAGAGUUACCAUUACUUAAAAUUUUUCAUUCCAAUUAAAACCCAGCCCUAAAGAAAUUUUGAUCUCAACUAAGGGGGCGUUUGGAUUGACGAAUUUGUAGAUUCAACGUAAGUCAAGUGUAGUGGUGUUUGAGUUUCCCUGAAGUGUGAUUAUUUUUCUGUUGUUUGUUUUGACGUAACUCGUACCACUGAAAGUUAAAUUCAAUCACUUCUGCUGUUUGUUUUGAUGUAACUUGGUGCUGGUAAAAUUAGUUUUUUGAGUUCCGUUGUUUGUUUUGAUGUAAGUAAGUGGAUCACAUUAUCUCUUAAAUAUAGUAAUAAAUUUAUCACUAUAAAAAUUAACCUAUUAUAUAAUUAAUUUUUUUAUUAUUAUUUAAAGAUAAUCUUAAUUUAUUAUAAAUAAAAUAAUUCUAACCCAUUAUAAAGAAAGUAGAGUUUAGGUUUUACUGUUUAAUAAAUUAUUUAGAGAAGGUUGAGUGUGGUGGAAGUCGAGUUCGGUACUUUAGAGCCGGAAGUCGAGAGUAGGUGAAGUGGAGCUCUAACAUAACUUGAGUUACAUUACAUUUUUCACUUACACCAAAACAAAUAACGAAAGUGAUGGAACUUGAGUUCCAUCACUCCACUUACACCAAAACAAACAGGCCCUAAAAACCCAGCGCAAAAAGAAUUUUUGGAUCCCAAUAAAACCCAGCCCAAGUGAAAAGGAAAAAGGAAAAUAGAAUACGAUCAAAACCAAAACCCUCCUCCCAUCUCUCGCGCGCCGCGCCCCACCGUCCCCUCCCUCUCUUCACGAUCAAAUUCCUGUCCUCUCCCCCCCGAUACCGAUCCCCCUCAACACUCUCUCCGUCUCCGACACCGAUCUUCGUCUCCGACACCGCACCAACCCGCGGGACAACAGAGUUAGUAGUAAUCACUUGGUAGUAGUAAUGACUAUGUAGAGUUCGAUAUUUAACUUCACAUCAGUGUUUUUGAUGCAAUUUUUUCUUGAUUUUCUCUACUUUUUAUGUUUAUUAGGCUUUUCUUGAUUUUCUCUACUUUUUAUGUUUAUUAGGCUUCUAGUUGCUUGGAUUUGGUAUUACUCUCCUCGACCCCAGCUCAGAGAGAUCUAGGGUUGGGGGUUUCGAUUGCCCAAUGGAGGAGGUCAGCUCUCUUUGUGUUCGCUUUUUUUUUAAUCACUCUGGAGUUUGGAGUGGACGAAUUCGACGAGGUAAUUGGUGAAUCUUCUAUCUCAUCCUAUUGAUCCGUAAACUUCAAUUUAUGUGAAUUGGGUCAUGAACUUAGAGACUUCUUCGCUUGGUCUAUUCAUGCUUAAUUAGUUUGAUACGAUGCAUCCAACUUUCUAAUAAUUGUGUGAACAAAAAUAAAUAAGUUAUUUCUAAUUUCUUCCCAAUUCAGAUUGGAGUACUCAUUGCCUAAUCUGGUCAACAAAUCUUAUCAUUAUAAUUUUCUAUCAUAGAAAUGCAUUAGUUUCCUUCAAAACAACAUUAAACAAGGUUUAAGAAUCACCUAAGGGUAGCACAUUUUAUGUUCUCGCGAUCCCAUUAAACAACAUUUGAAAAUGCAGUUUCCCCUGGGAUUGCAAUUUGACAAUAAAUUUGAAUUAUUCUAUUCCCGUGAGUAGUCCACUGGGCUAUAAGGAUAUGUGGAAGACCUAUAUUCUCUAUUCAGAUGUUUGAAAAACCUCCAUAGCUAAUUUUGUUGGGAUCAUUUGAUAGCUUUCUUUAUGGCAAAUAGCAUAAGAUUUAAGCUGAAGCUUCUAAUUUGAAAGUCAUGCAAAACAUACAUAGAGGAAGAACAACAAGUUGGAGCUCAGAAACUUACAUACUAGUGGCCCACAAGAAAAAAGGUAGGAAAAAUGUGCUGAAAGUAGAAAAUCUAGACAAUAAAUAAACAAGGUUAUUUUUCAGGUUUUGCCCUAAAAAUUAGAACUAUGAAGGAGAUUAACCUACUGUUCUAUUGGUGGUUGUGGGGAAGUAAAGCUUAUUAUCGGUUAAAAAGUUCAUAUGGUGGGAAAUCCGCCCAAAUCAAAUCAGCCGAUUGUGGGAUGUUAUCUAUCACCAUUUAGUGCAUAUUGUGCUAGUAUAUUUUCUUUUUUUGGUGAUAGUGCAGGAACUUUUUGCCUCUUAAGUAUCAAACAUUAAAAUAAGCUUUGUUAUCUCAUAGAAAUUCCAUUUUUAUUUUUAUAUACACGCAUGCAGAUAACCGUUCUUAUUGGUACUUAUUAUUUUUCAACAUUGGGCACUACAACUAUAUAUAAAUUAUUCAUUCAGAUCCGAACUUCUCACAUGUGAAUUAAGUAGUUGCUGCCCAUAUGACACAUUUAAUACUCAUCCAAACAUAUAUUUUCAUAAAAUCUAAAAUGAUUUUAGUAAUAAAAACAAAAGACUUGAUAAGAUUAGAGGAAGACAAAUAGAUUUUGGAUGAAUGGAGUGGUAAUAUGUUUACCUAGUCUAAAACUUGAUAAGAAAAAUUCGAGUAGGUACCCAUUUACUUGAGAAGUUGUACGCGAUCACCUGAUUUGUAAUGGAAUUAGUCCUAAUUAUGAUAAUUGGUUCUUUUAUGGGGAACCCAUAUUUAGAGCCACAUCUAAUCCUACUAAUGAGAGUCGUAGUUUUCUGGUCCAUAAUGUGAAUGAUAGUAUACGUGGCAUGCUACAUGAAGCUUUUCAAAUGCAUAAUAAUCAACUUCAAGAUGACUUUCAAGAUGAUAGUGAUUUUCAAGACUCAUCUGGAAAAGGUUCUGAUUCACAGUAACCUAAAGGUGCUCCAAAUAAAGAUGCAAGCAAAUUUUAUAAGUUACAUAAAGAUGCUAAACAACUUUUGUAUAAUGGUUGUGAGAAGUAUAGCAAAUUGACAGCUAUUGUAGUUUUAUAUUAUGUAAAGUCCCUUCAUGGGUGGAGUAGUAAAUCUUUUAGUAUGCUCCUUGAAGUACUAAAAGAUAUGCUUCCUUCAGAUGCUAAGUUGCCAGAUGAUUGCUAUGUCGCGAAAAAAAUAUAUUAGGGACCUAGGCCUUGGAUACGAAAAGAUUCAUGCAUGUCCUAAUAAUUUUAUUCUAUUCUGGAAAGAGAAUGCAGAUUCUGAAAUUUGUCCAAAAUGUAGUACAUCAAGAUGGAAAACUAAUGACGUUAAUAUUAAUCUAGAUGUGGACGAAAAUUCCAUAAAAAAAAAAAAGCUAGCAAAAGUACUGCGAUGGUUCCCUUUAAAGCAAAGGCUUCAAAGAUUAUUCAUGUCCUCAAAAACUGCUUCUAUGAUACAAUGGAAUGCUGAAGGUCGGGCGAAUGAUGGGUUGAUAAGGCAUCCUGCUAAUUCAAUAGUAUGGAAAAAUUUUGAUAGGCGAUAUGCAGACUUCUCAUUAGAUUCUCGCAAUGUUAGCAACUGAUGGGUUCAAUCCUGUUCAAACUAUGAGCACUAAUUACAGUUGUUGGCCUGUCAUAUUGAUCCCAUACAACUUGCCACCAUGGGUAUGCAUGAAGAGGUCUUUGUUUAUUUUGUCAUUACUCAUUCCAGGCCCGAAUUCACCUUCUAUUAAUAUAGAUGUGUAUUUGCAACUUUUGAUCGAGGAGUUAGUACAAUUGUGGGAACUCGGCCUUGAUACAUACAACGCAUCUGUCGGAGAAAAUUUUUGUAUGCGUGUUGCAUUGUUAUGGACAAUUAAUGACUUUCCUGCAUAUGGUGACUUAUCUAGGUGGAGCACCAAGGGUCCUCUUUCUUGUCCUUCUUGUAAUUACGAUACUCGUUUUCGAUGGUUAAAAUACGGUGGCAAAUACUGCUUUAUGGGUCAUAGGCGAUUCUUACAAAAGAAUCAUAGAUUUCGAAAAACUAGGAUAUCAUUCGAUGGCACUCAAGAAAAUGGAGUUGGCACCUAAAAUAUUAUCCGGAGUAGAAAUUUUGGAGCACACUUAAUAAGUUGAAUGUAACUUUAGUAAGCAUAUUAAUAUAUGUCAAAAGAAAGGAAAAGAAAUGAAAAUAUAGAGUAUCAACCAUAGAAGAAAAGGAGUAUAUUUUUUAUGUCACCUUACUGGGAACACCAUAUGUUGCGUCACAAUCUUGAUGUGAUGCAUAUUGAAAAGAAUAUCUACGAUAAUAUUCUUGGCACAUUAUUGAAUUUUGAUGGCAAAUCAAAGGACAAUCUGAAGGCAUGCCUUGAUUUAAAAUAUAUAGGNCACCUUACUGGGAACACCAUAUGUUGCGUCACAAUCUUGAUGUGAUGCAUAUUGAAAAGAAUAUCUACGAUAAUAUUCUUGGCACAUUAUUGAAUUUUGAUGGCAAAUCAAAGGACAAUCUGAAGGCAUGCCUUGAUUUAAAAUAUAUAGGAUUAUGACUUGCUUCAUCCUCAAAGUGUUGGACUAAAUAAAAUUAUUUUACCACCAAAUUGCUUCACAAUGUCUCUAAAAUAAAAGGAUGAGUUUUUAAAAAUUUUGAAAAAUGUGAAAGUGCUGCAUGGCUAUGCAUCUAACCUAUCAUGUAUUCAGCUUAAGGAACGCAAAAUGAUAGGUUUAAAGAGUCAUGAUUGUCAUAUUUUAAUGCAACAACUUCGUCCGAUAGCAUUGCGUGGUGUUUUAUCGAAGAGAGUAGUUGCACAUCUAAUUGACUUGUGUUGUUUCUUUUGUGAGCUGUGUUCCAAAACUUUGGAUGUACGUGAACUUGAGCAAUCGGAAUCUCGAUUUGUGGAAACUCUAUGCCAUUUGGAAAUAAUCUUUACUCUGUUUUUUACCAUUAUUGUACAUUUGGUCGUCCGUUUAGUUACUGAAGCCAAAAUUGCAGGACCAGUACUAUCAUUGGAUGUAUCCUAUCUUUUAACUCUUCUAGUCUAUGUUAUCUUUUUGACCUGUAGGGCUCUCUUGCGGCUCAAGUUUGAGGUACGUAUAAGGCUCAUCCGGAGGAUUCAAUUGCAGAAAGCUACAUGGUAGAAGAAUGUAUGACGUUUUGGUCAUGGUUAUAAAAAGAUUCAUAUGGAGAAUUUUGUUAGCUGGUUUCAAUCAUAUGACCAAAACCGGUCAACAAAAUUCUCUAUAUGAAUCUUAUUUAUAACCAUAUCACUUGGGCGUGUUCCACGAUUCUACCUCUUUAUUGCAUUUUUAUGAAUACUAGACAAAAAGAAAUAAUGUUAAUAUCAAGCAAUUAAAACUAGUAGGUACAUAAUACUUAUAUGAUAUAGUUAUUGACCUGCAAAAAGGAAUUAUUUCAUUACUAUUGAACAGUACAUAUCGAUGAGCUUGCAGCCAUGACUUUUGAUCAAGAAGAAUAUUUAAGAUUGCUCCCAUUGAAUCAUCAAUAUUCCUAGCGGGCCUAUUGAAUGUUGUCUCGAUAGUUUCCUCAUACAUUCUUCUACCAUAUAGUCUUCUACAAUUGAACUCUCUGGAUGAGCCUUAUUACAUAUCUUAGACUUAAGCCGAAUGAGAGCCCUACAGGUCGAAAAGAUAACAUAGACUAGAAAAGUUAAAAGACAAUUAGGUUAAGUAAAAAGUAACAAGAUGACUAGGUCAAACCUAACCUCUCGAUAGGAUACAUCCAACGAUAGUAUUGACUUCAGUAGCUAAAUGGACGACCAAUGUACCAUAAUGGUGAAAAAUGAAGGAAGAAAGAUUGUUUCCAAAUGACAUAGAGUUUUCAUAAUUCGAGAUUCCAAUUGCUCAAGUUCACGUACAUCCAAAGUUUUGGAACACAACUCACGAAAGAAACAACACAAGUCGAUUAGAGGUGCAACUACUCUCUUCGGUAAAACCCCACGCAAUGCUAUUGGAAGAAGUUGUUGCAUUAAAACAUGACAAUCAUGACUCUUUAAACCCUAUCAUUUUACGUUCCUCAAGUUGAAUACAACAUGAUAGGUUAGAUGCGUAGCCAUCCGGCUCUUUCACAUUUUUCAAAAUUUUUAAAAACUCAUCCUUUUAUUUUAGAGACAUUAUGAAGCAACUUGGUGGUAAAAUAAUUUUAUUUAGUCUAACACUUUGAGGAUGAAGCUCAGGUCGUAAUCCCAUAUCUUUAAAUCAAGGUGUGCCUUCAGAUUGUCCUUUGAUUUGCCAUCAAAAUUCAAUAAUGUGCCAAGAACAUUAUCGCAUAUAUUCUUUUCAAUAUGCAUCACAUCGAGAUUGUGACGCAAUAUUUGGUGUUCCCAAUAAGGUAACAUAAAAAAUAUUCCCCUUUUCUUCCAUGGUUGAUAUUCUAUAUUUUCAUUUCUUUUCCUCUUUCCUUUUGACAUAUUAAUAUGCUUACCAAAGUUACAUUCAACGUAUUGUAUUGAGUGUGCUCCAAAAUUUCUGCUCCGAAUAAUAUUUUAGGUGCCUACUCCUUUUCUUGAGUGUCAUCGAAUGAUAUCCUAUCUUUUCGAAAUCUAUGAUUCUGUUGUAAGAAUCGCCUAUGGCCCAUGAAGCAGUAUUUGCCACCGUAUUUUGACCAUCAAGAGCGAGUAUCGUAAGUACAAGAAGGACAAGAUAGAGGACUCUUGGUGCUCCACCCAGAUAAGUCACCAUAUGUAGGAAAGUCAUUGAUUGUCCAUAACAAUAUAGCACGCAUACAAAAAUUCUAUUCGAUAGAUGCAUCAUAUGUAUCAAGGCCGAGCUCCCACAAUUGUACUAACUCCUCGAUCAAAGGUUGCAAAUACACAUCUAUAUUAAUAGAAGGUGAAUUCGAGCCUUGAAUGAGUAAUGACAAAAUAAACGAAAACCUCUUCAUGCAUAUCCAUGGUGGCAAGUUGGAUGGGAUCAAGAUGACAGGCCAACAACUGUGCUUAGUGCUCAUAGUUCGAAAAGGAUUGAACCCAUCAGUUGCUAAUCCGAGCCUAACAUUGCGAGGAUUUAACGAGAAGUUUGCAUAUCGCCUGUCAAAACUUUUCCAUGCCAAUGAAUCAGUAGGAUGCCUCAUCAACCCAUCAUUCGUUCGACCUUCAGCAUGCCAUUUUAUUAUAGAAGCAGUUUUUGAGGACAUGAAUAACCGUUGAAGCCUUUGCUUUAGAGGGAACCGCCGCAGUACUUUUGCUGGCUUUUUCUUUUUGAUGGACUUUUCUUCCACAUCUAGAUUAACAUUAACAUCAUUAGUUUUCCAUCUUGAUGUACUGCAUUUUGGACAAAUUUUAGUAUUUGCAUUCUCUUUCGAGAAUAAAAUACAAUUAUUAGGACAUGCAUGAAUCUUUUCAUAUCCAAGGCCUAGGUCCCUAAUAUAUUUUUUUACGAUAUAGCAAUCAUCUGGCAAGUUAGCAUCUGAAGGAAGCAUAUCUUUAGUACUUCAAGGAGCAUACUAAAAGAUUUAGAGGCAAUUGCCUAUAUACUCUUGAAAAGUUUCCGGUUUUCUUAUUUACCCCUCUUAGAAGGCUAAUAUUGAAAAUACCCUUCUUAUAUUCCAAGCGUUUCUAAUAUACCCCUGGAGUUAAUUUUCGUUAGUGAGCUGCCGUUAUCUCUAGAAAAUUACUAUUUUGCCCAUUCUAAUAUGCCCUUCUACCGUAACUAACUUUUCUUAUAUAUCCUUCAUAUAGCAAAUACUUUUCUUAUUUGCCCUUCAAAUAUUAAUUAAUUAAUUAAGCACGUCAGGAGCGAGCAGAUGAACGGAUGAGAUCGAUCGCAGCUAAACCAACCUUGGUGGCCGGAGGCAUAGUUAGUUAAUUCGGAUUCGGCAAAAAUUCGGUACGGAUAUAAUUCGGAUAAAAUUCGAUUUUUAAUUUUUAAAUUCGUUGAAAAAUACGGCUAAAAAACGGAUUCGAUAGUUAUUCGGAUACGUGAUUUAUACGGGUAUUAUACGUUCACCAAUUUAAAAUUCGGGAUCAAAUAUAAUUUUUAUAUAUAAUUUUUAAAAAUUCGGUAUUAUACUAUAUAUAUUAUUAUUAUAAUAUUUAUAUAUAGAUUAAAUAUAUUUAAAAUUAUGAUAAACAUAUACUAAUAAUAUAUAAGAGUUAUAUAUUUAAAAAUAUUAAUAAAUAAUUACAAAUUUAUAAAUAAAAUAUUAUAUAAUAAUAUUUCUAUAUAUAAAUAAAAUACUAUAUGAAUAUAUAUUUAUAAAUUAUAUAUAUAUAUAUAUAUACACACACACACACACACACACACUUAUAUAUAUAAUGAGAGGGAGGUCCACGGUGGACCUCCCUCUCAUCCGGUCCACGAGGCCAAAUUGGCCUCGUGGACCGCGCACACCCAAGGGCGAGGGCGUGCCGUUGCCGGGCGUCCGCGAGAGAGAGCGCGCCGCGCUCCGCCGUCCGCAAGGGCGUGGGCGUGGUGCGGUCGGGCGUAGUGGGGGAGGGGUGCUGGUUGCGGGCGACCUAGAGGUCCAUGAUCUUGCGGGCAGCGUCGGUGCUCUCGUGCAUGAGGCGGGCGACCUCGGCCUUGGGCAGGCCCAGGCGGAGCGUGCGGGCGUCGUCGGGGUGGGCGUGGGCGUGGGAGUUGAGGAGGGAGAGGUCGGAGGAGGAGGACGACAACGACGAUUCAACAAAUCCAUAGGCUCUCGGCGUCGACCAAGGCGGCGGAGGAGGAGGAGGACGACGAGAGCGGCGAGAGGGGUGGUGGUCUGGGAGGUGGUGGUGGUGGUCUGGGAGGAGAUGAGGCGAGGUGGAGGCGGAGGAGCCGGCGAGGUGGAGGCGGAGGAGCUGGCGAUCACGUUGGGAGAGAGAGGAUAACUUAAGGAAUUAACAUAAUAAGGUAGGGGUAAAAUAGGUAUUUUAUAUAGGUUUUAACUCUAGUAUACAUUUAACCCAUAUUUAACUCGAGUUAAGUUAAUAGGGGAUAACUGCGGGGGUAUUUUGGAAUAACGGUGGAACAUAUGAGGGGCAUUUUAGAAAGAAAAAAAAAAGUAGGGAUAGAUCGGAUAUUUCUAGACGCAUGAGGGGUAUAUAGGCAAUUAUCCCAAAGAUUUAUUGCUCCACCCAUGAAGAGACCUCAAAUGAUAUAAAACUACAAUAGCUGCCAAUUUGCUAUACUUCUUACAACCAUUGAACAAAGGUUGUUCGGCAUCUUUAAGUAACUUAAAAAUUUACUUGCAUCUUUAUUUGGAGCAUCUUUAGGUUGCUGUGAAUCAGAACCUUCCCCAGAAGAUGAGUCUUGAAAAUCACUAUCAUCUUGAAAGUCAUCUUGAAGUUGAUUAUUAUGCAUUUGAAAAGCUUCAUGUAACAUGCCACAUAUACUAUCAUUCACAUUAUGGACCUAAAAACUACGGCUCUCAUUAGUAGAAUUAGAUGUGCCUCUAGAUAUGGGUUCCCCAUAAAAGAACCAAUUAUCAUAAUUAGGACUAAUUCCAUUGCAAAUCUGGUGAUCGCAUACAACUUCUCGAGUCCAACUAUAGAAAUUUGUGCAUUUCAUACAAGGACAUGAAAUCCUCCUAUCCUCUGACCCAUUUUUAAAAGUAAAAUUCACAAAAUCAUUUGCUCCUUUAUAAUAUUCAUAUGUCCAUCUACUCUUUUUUAUCCAACUUUUAUCCAUUGCAGUACUUAUCAAGUUGUAAAAUCAACCUAUAAAAAAGAAAGCUCAUAAUUAUAAAAGAAAAUGUAGAUCAAGUAAAUAAUUGGUAAAAGUAAAUGGGUACCUACUCAAAUUUUUCUUAUCAAGUUUUAGACUAGGUAUACAUAUUAUACUCCAUUCAUCCAAAUAUCUAUUUUUCUCCCUCUAAUCUUAUCAAGUCUUUUGUUUUUAUUACUAAAAUCAUUUUAGAUUUUAUGAAAAACUAUGUUUGGAUGAGAAUUAUAUCUGUCAUAUGGGCAGCGACUACUUAAUUCACAUGUGAGAAGUUCGGAUAUGAAUGAAUAAUUUAUAUAAUUGUAGUGCCCAAUGUUGAAAAAUAAUAAGUACCAAUAAGAACGGUUAUAUGCGUGCGUGUAUAUAAAAAUAAAAGUAGAAUUUCUAUAAGAUAACAAAGCUUCUUUUAAUGUUUGAUACUUAGAGGCAAAAAGUUCCUGCACUAUCACCAAAAAAAGAAAAGAAAUAUACACUAGCACAAUAUGCACUAAAUGGUGAUAGAUAACAUCCCACAAUCGGUUGAUUUGAUUUGGGUGGAUUUCCCACCAUAUGAACUUUUUAACCGAUAAUAAGCUUUACUUCCCUACAACCACCAAUAUAAUAGUAGACUAAUCUCCUUCAUAGUUCUAAUUUUUAGGGCAAAACCUGAAAAAUAACCUUGUUUAUUUACUGUCUAAAUUUUUCCACUUUCAGCACAUUUUAUCUACUUUUUUCUUGUGGGCAACUAGUAUGUAAGUUUCUGAGGUGCAACUUGUUGUUCUUCCUCUAUGUAUGUUUUGCAUGACUUUCAAAUUAGAAGCUUCAGCUUAAAUCUUAUGCUAUUUGCCAUAAAGAAAGCUAUCAAAUGAUCACAAUAAAAUAAGCUAUGGAGGUUUUUCAAACAUCUGAAUAGAGAAUAUAGGUCUUCGACAUAUCCUUAUAGCCCCAAACCUAUUACUUGGCAUUGCCUAGAAUAGUGGACUCACUACAAAAAAGUCGAUUUGUGGCGACAGUUAUUUUAGUAACAUUUAACACAAGUGCUGCCAAAAAUAUAUUUUAGCAGCCGUUUUAAAUAAUUAUUAUAACAUUUCUAAACCGUCGGUAUAUAGUAGUAUAAUAACUGAAGGAUUUUUAUUUUAACUUUUUUUUAAUUUCCAAAGUGAUUUAGAAAGGCAGCUAGAAAUGUGUUAAUGCUAAUUGGGCCUAGCUUAUCUUGGGCUGCACUGAAUUUGGCUUCAACAUUAUUAGUGGGUUACAUUGUCCCCAAAAAAUUAUCGGAUUUACAUAUUUGAACUCCAUAAGAAUUGUUUAUAUUAAUUAAUGUUUUGGAGUCAAAAAAAUUAAACCAAUGUAAUUCAUAGAAUCUAAAAUUCUAUAUAUAAAGAAGUCUUAUGUAGUACACUGAACUGGCGCAAAUUGCGAAGUUCAAGUGUGGAAACGAUAAUUGGAACUACCUGACACCUUCUAAAGGGUUUAGAGAUGGUUGUGGACAAGUUUGGGAGUGAUUAGGCCACUGGAAGCGAGAAAGUGCAUUGCUACUACUAUUUCUGCAUCUUCUGCAUUGUUGUACCGGUACAACAUUGAGUCUGUACCGGUACAACAAGCAUCAGCAGCAGCAGCUGCGUGGCAGUGAGGAGAUUUUGGUAAUUUCACCUUUUAAGCUUAUCUUUAACCCUGAAUUUGACCCUUGCAGCUGUCUUGGAGGUGCUGGAGCCUGGAGAGGCAGGUUGGAAGGCUUCUCUUCUUCUCUCUCUAGGGUUUUUCUCUCUCUACAUUGGAAUCAAGGGUUUUGGUCUACUUUCUUCUCCUUCUUUGAUGCUGAUUGUUUUGGGAAGCCAGGGAGCUGUUGUAGAAGGGUGAAGAAGGUAUUUUGGGAAGGAUUUCGCAACUCCAUCACAGCAGGUAGCUGAGUGGAGACUUGCUAAGGUAACUAACUAACUAUUUGUUAGCUUAAUGCUUUAGUAGUAGAGUUGAAUAUGAUUUCGGGUUUCUUGUGCCCAGCUGGUGUGAGGGGAGUUCUAGUAGCCCUAGAAGCAGGAUUUGAUGUGGUUUUUGUAACCUGAAUCCAGAGGGAGAAUGAGAUUGGAACUUGGAAUGAGGUAAGUAGUGAAUUGAUUACCUUAUGUGAGGUUACAAUAAGCUUGUUAAUGAAGAAUGAAGUUGUUUUUGGGUACAUGUUGCUGCAGCUUGGAGGCUCCUGUUGUGCUGAAUAGCUUGACAUUGUGAACUAGGUUGAGGGGAUUUCAACUAGAAGGAAGCAGAGUUACAAGUAAGAAAUCUAUAUAAAUGAGAUUUGAGCCUCGAUUUUGUGGUUACCCAAGUGUACUAAUGCAGUUUUGGGUUUGGUUCACAGCAGGAAGUGCGCACCUUAUAAUUGAGAGUUAGGACUCUUUUGAGCUGGAUUAAGCUGAUUGUGGAGUACUUCAAUUCAGAUUGAAGUAAAGUUUUGGCGUAAGUCUCAACCUAGGUGAGACUUUAGUCUAUAUUAUGUGAAUAUGUGAGAUAUUGUUCUAAGUAUAUAAUUUCAGUCUCUAGCUGAUUUUCGAUUGGUUAAUUAGGGACUUGGAGACUUCAAUUUCCUGCAGCUGUGAGUUUGACAAGGGUCAUCUAUUAGUAGGUGGGUUUGGCCUUACCAGAGUAAGUGAAUCUCCUCUAUGUUCUAUAUGAUAUUAUAGAAUUAUUGGUAUGUGCAACUAUGUGAACAAGUACUAGAUACAGAAUAUUGGAUGCCAUAAAUACGCUAGUUUUAUUGAAUGGAAGGAAACCUCUAUAAAGUAGAGAUAAUUAUGAAUAAUUGUCUUAGCGUUCAGUUUAAUUGUAUAGAUAAGGGAUAGUCCUACUAUGCUUCUAAAAAGUAGAGAACAAGGACAUGCACUUGUGACAUGAAUAAUAAUGCAUUUAUGCUGUUAAGUUCCAAUGGCAUAUGUAAUUAGCAUCUCUUUUAUGGGUUAUUAAUCUAGUGGAUACUAGCAUUUUUUCAUCACAUUCAAAUUCCGACCCAUUGGUCGAGAGUGAGAACUUUACAUGUUAAAACAUGACGACUGAGAACUGUUGGACUAUGGAUCGUGCUUGCUUGCCAUUGUGCUCAUUCGCACAUGCUUGUGAGGGUCGCUCCCCACAAGCCGGCACUCUGGAGUUGGCCUACACGACAGAUUGCUCGUCCGUGCGGGAUUGGGUGCCGAAGUGGAUUGCCGUGGGGAGUGUAUACUAUUAUAGGGCCAUUAGGCGCGGCGCAAGCUAGACUACCUUGGGUAGGUCCUUAUGAAUUAAACUAAGUUACUAAAUGGUAGUAUUAAAGGAUCAGCACUACUUAGGGUACAGUUGCAUAUCUACAUGACAUGGUUAUGUUCCUAAUAUCGCUUUACUUGCUUCUAAUUGGUUGAUAUAGCUGACAGUAUGAUAUAUGUUCAUCAUUAAUUACAUUGAUAUACCUAUCAUGCAAUCAAUGUUUUUACAUUUCUAAUAGUACAUCAUGAGUCUAGUGGUGUAAUUCGCCGAGGCUGGCGGUUUACCCACUGAAAAUUAUUGUUUAAUAGUUCUCACGCCCUCUGUGUUGUUAUUUUUACAGAGCCUUCCACGACGGGAGAGGCUAGGGAUCGCGGCAAGGGAGUCGCGUCUAGCUAGGCAUAGCGUGGAGUCCUGCUAGGUGAUCACCUCGCUAUUUUGAUAUGCUGACGAGGAUGAAGUGUACCUUGUGUAGAGAGACUACCACUUAUGUUUUAUAUAGUUGUUGGGUGACCCUGUAGAGUACAUGAUUGUUUGGAGUGAUGUAAUUAUGGUUUUGGAUUUCUAUCUCGUGUAGAGAUUUGCAGGGUUUAUACUUUUCUCCUGAUAGUAGUAUUCUUGGUUUAUAUUUUGCUUUGAUAUCAUGUUAGAAUCUCUUGUUACUUUCCUAAUAAGAUUUUAUAGACGUCUUAUAUACUGCAGAUAUAUGACGGGUCUGUGCAUAAACCGGAUAUGCUUCUGCUGGUAUCCGGGCGUGACAUCUUACUUACCGACCGUCCAUAGAGCAAGUGGCAAAAGGUUUGGUGGUUGGUACCCGAGGUUCCAAAUUUGAAUCCUAGUUGAUUCAUAUUUUCAGCUAAGUUUAUUUUUAAACGAAAUAAGCGAAACUGGUAGCGUGCUACCUAUCUCUCUCUCAAAAAAAAAAAAGUUUUUCUUUUUAGAGAUUAAAAAAAAAAAAAUGUUACUUACACGAAUCUCUAAUAUAUAGAUUUUAGUAUGAAAAUAAAAAAAUUAUAAAACUAAUUUAAAGCGUUGAUCGUUAAAAGGUGAACUUAUAAGAUUGUAGUCAAUUUUUGAUUGGAGAGUUAGCAUUACUUCUUUUAAAAAAAUAAUCCACCCUCUUUGCGAUGAAACCCCCACCCCUCCUCGAUACCGAUCUCCCUCAACACUCUCUCCCUCUCCAACACCGAUCUCCCUCUUCGACACUGCACUAGUAAAUCGCUCGGUACUUGUAAUGGCUUGUAGAGUUCGAUGUUUAGCUUCAUAUCAGUGUUUUUUUUACUUGAUUUUCUCUGUUUUUUAUUUUUAUUAGGCUUCUAGUGACUCUGAUUUGGUAUUAUUUGCUCAGAUUUGGUAUUACUCGCCUCAACCCCAACUCAGAGAGAGAGGUCGGUUAUGUCUUGCUUGGAUUGGGGGUUUUGAUUGCCCAGUGGUGGAGGUGACCUCUCUUUGUGUGACCUGAGGCUAUCGGAUUCGCUUUUUUUAGCACUCGAUCGGGAGCUCGGAUUAAUCUGAAACUGGAAUUUGAGGUGAAAGACCUAGAGAUCUUACUUGAACUGUAGAAACAUGCAAUUUUGAAUUUGGUACCUGAACUGGAAAAUGCGGAAUUUAUUAUCUGAAUUUGGAAUUUUAAAUAUUUUGAUUCUACUAACUUACUUUUCAGAAUUUAAUGGAAUUGUAGAAUAUUUUGUUUGAUUAGGGAAUAUUUGACUAAUAAUGUUAUAAAUACAGUAAAGUUAGUUAGUAGAAUCAAAAAUUUUAUAGGCCUUGUCACUGUUUCGAUAAAUAGUGUACGAUAAGGUAGUAACAUAGUCCUCCUUUCACUAUGAAAAAACAUUAAGGAUACUGCCGCUUCUUGCUUAUGCAGUACACGAAGUGAUUGGGUGUAAUUCUUGGUCUAAGUAUUUUAUUAGUGGUGGUGAACUUCUUUUCUAUGGCAGAAAUUAUGCAUGCAAUUGAACAUUUGACCUGAUUUUGAUGUGAAAUGAGAGAAAUUUUACUCUUUUGACUUCGUCACUGUAGCAAAAGAUAGAAGUUGGAAAAGAGUUGUUCUUUCUUUCACCAGACAAAAAGACAUAGAUGUAUAGUUUUUAAAUGUUUGCCAAUGCAUUUAAUUGCAUAGAACUCGUGAUAAAACAAAAAAGGGAAAAAACUGUUGCAUAGCAAAACGAGGCCUACAAUCUUUUGAAUAAAGUUCAUCCUUAGCUGCAAAUAAGAUGCAUAUAUCAUAAUCAUGUCUAUGAUCACUGUCCCAAAUUUCCAUCAUUUAUUCAGUAUGGAGUAGUUUCCUGCUGCUCUUCAUUGUCUGGUUCUUUUGCUAAUUCAUUUUGUUAAAGAGCAAAGAACAUGCAUGUAAAAUUGUAGAUCUUACACGAAUAAAUAUGUAAAAAAGUUUUGCAAUGUUUUAUAUGUAAAUGCGUCUUUUUUCAUCAGCAUAUUUUGACGGCGUCGCUUGGAAUAAUGUAGUAUUGCGUAGACUCGUGUAAUCUUGUUUUUAAUCAGGAAAAUGAAGUCCAGGUUGAUGAAAUUAAUCACAUAUUGAAACUUUGUUUCUUUUUUUGUCCUUUUUUAUUCAGAAAUGCCAUGGCCUGCAAUGCCAGCACCCAGACUUUGGAAUCUCAGGUAUGUUAAGUGAUGAUAUCCUCAUCAUUUUGACCAUUAUUUAAUUUGAUCAAUUUCAAAUAAUAGAUUGGACAAGUGGGUGAGAAGAAUUGACUUUUUAUGAGCACUAUUUAGGUUAAUCUGUGAAACAGUUCUUAUUUGGUCAAGAAGGCGGAUGGGGGAUAAAUUGGUAGAAAGCGUUAAUGAAUCCAUUAAUCAGCUAAGCAGGAACUCGCCAUAACAUGGUUGAUUAUUGAGUUAGAAUUAGGCAUGUUUGUUGUAUUUUUGCAAAUAAAGUUUUCGUUGACAAAUUCUUUCCAUUCAUUUACUCUCCCAUCCUAACUUUCCUUACGCAGAUUGGCAAGUUUGAAGAAAAAUCAGAGAGAAGCACCUUUCAUAAGCAGUAUGUAGUAUUAACGAAUGAAAAAGUAGUUAGAGCUAGCGAAUUUGAAAGCAAUGGAGGUUUGCGACUAAAACUAAGACUUGUAGGCCUUAUUUGGACAUCAGAAUAUGUUAUCCAAUGAUUACUUAUUCAGUUUGAAGAUUUUGUCAUCCACGAUUUGGUAGGAAGUAAUAUUUCACCUACCAGCUAUGAGAUGAUUUGCCUUAUUCCGUAAAAAAUGAAUUAAGAAGAUACCAAAGUAGGGUCGGACUAACUAACCCCUUUGAGCACAGUUAGAUAUCCGCAGUUUUAUAAGAAAGGUUCGAUACCUAGCUAUGUCAAAUUGGUUUACAGUAAAGCAAUAAGACUUGUUCUUUACUGAAUUAGUGGUGUGAAUUAGUGGUCAUGUACCAAAUUUUACUAACAUUUCACUCUACAGUAUGCAAUAGUUUUCAUAUCUUAAUCGCAAUGCUACGGUGUUUGAUGCGCUGAAUUACUGGUAUUUGGCUGAUAUAUAUAUAUAUAUAUNCAUACCUAGCAGCUAAGCCUUCGAGAUAGUAGCUUUUGCUAAAUAUUCAUGCUCUCGCUAGCAUGAGUAUUAUCAUAUCAUCAGCCUGGGAUAUAUCCGACACCGAUGAUAUGAUAAUACUCAUAACCUCGAGAGCAUGAAGAUUCAACAAAAAAAACUACUUCGAAGGCUAAGAAAAUAGGUGAGGCAAUUUAUACUAGAUCUCAUAAACUAUGAAGAUCUUUAACAGUUUAAAGCACUGAAAAACUUUAGCAUUCCAUUUAAGACAGCUUGCUAAUAUUUUAAACGAAAGAUCUUUAAAAUUGACGACAGGUAUUGUAAAUUCCUACUACCUUAGCAAGCUAAGCCUUCGAGAUAGUAGCUUUUGCUAAAUACUCAUGCUCUCGCUAGCAUGAGUAUUAUCAUAUCAUCAGCCGUUAAAUGUUAUUUAUAGCAUUUAAAACUUCUAGAAAUCAAAUUUUAUAAUUUUUCGACAUCAUUUACCUUACGAUCAAGAGGUCACAAAUUUGACAAUUUUUAAUGGCCGGUAUGGGAUACUUGCUAUUUUAACGGUGUAAAAGAAUCGAAAUUUGUUGAAUUUUGAUACAAAAUUUUAUUCGCUAUCUAGAUAAAGAUCAAUAACUCUGAUCUUGAAUUGAAGGAUUCGAUCAUCCUUUUUUAGGACGUCGUUCGAUUUUGACUGUUUAUUUUAUGCUCGUUUGAUGGACUUUAUUAUGAUUUCGAAAAUUUACGAAAUUUAUUUUCUAGAAGUUUCAAAUACUCUAGAUCAUAUUUAACGGAGUGGAUCGUCGAUUUGGAAGCUUCAUCAUAAAAAACAAUUUAGAAGUACGAGAGCUCCAAUACUCAUAAUAGUAUAGUAGCCACGGCCUAUAUAGGGUCCGACUACUAUACUAUUAUGAGUACGAUCUGCCACAGCCCGCGACCACCCGCCUAUUUGGCUGAGGUCCCGGAGCCGCCGACAUCGCCGAAUGGACAGGGUUUCUCCUGUACUACGGACAGAGUCUCCCCUGUACAUUCAAGGCAUCGCAACCAAUACAAUUCACGAAGGUUCCAACCAGAAACAGAUAUCAAUCAAGAUUGCAAGUGGAAGGUAUCAUACAACAUAAACACAUCCUAAGUUAUUACAUUCAUUCACUUUCAUAGUUUUUAUAUUAUAGUUUCCAUUCUUUUUCAUCCAAAUGCAAUCUAAGUUAUUACAACAUUUACUUACUACAAGUUUGAUACAUUGUAUUCUUUUCAUUUCCUUUACCCCUAAGCUAUAUAGACGGGAUACUGCUAGCUCUGGUCUCUGGGGUAGGGCGCUAUCUGCAGAACUACGCCCUCGCCUUGCGCCGCCGCGCUGCACAUGUGUGUACCUGUACCCUCAAAACAGCAACACGGGGGUGAGACUAUUGUCCAUAGUCCUAAGUGGGUUUAGUCACCCAAGAGAACCAGCUCAACCAACAGGUCUAACGAGGCACUGCAACAUGUUAGUUCAACAAUAUACAACAGAUAUAUAUUCAAUUGAAAUACAUGUCAUGCCUCACGAAAUGCAAGAUGCAAUACCUGUAAUCAUGUAAGUAGGGUACUUUAACGCUACUUAUAUUCUUAAUCAUUCUUUACCCUUGUCAUUUAAUGUUUACUUUUAGCUCUUAGCUAUUCUUUACUUGUAACCUUUCUUUACUUUAUCAGCUAUUCUUAUUCCUUAGCCGAUCUUUAUUCUUUACUUAUUCUUUAUUCUUUACUUAUUCUUUAUUCUUUAUACUUUGUUGCACUUUUCCACUGGCCAUUCUUUCCAAAGGUUUCUCUUACCUUAGUUCUCUAUGCCAUUCGAUUCGGUCUUAAGUCAAUCAAUCGCGGAUAGUCCGCGCACUGUCUAGCUCGAGGUGAAGGAACUCACAUGCACCUCAGCUGGCAACAGCUCACCGUACUCCUGUCCUAGUCGUCUGGCGGCGAACGAAUCGCAC
rnacentral:lncRNA from 1 species